GAACCAGCCAAGUAGCGUGCAGGAUUGACGGCCCUAUGGGUUGUAAACUGCUUUUGUUGGGGAGUAAAGUGAGGCACGCGUGCCUUUUUGCAUUUACCCUUCGAAUAAGGACCGGCUAAUUCCGUGCCAGCAGCCGCGGUAAUACGGAAGUCCAGGAGUUAUCUGGAUUUAUUGGGUUUAAAGGGAGUGUAGGCGGUCUGUUAAGCGUGUUGUGAAAUUUAGGUGCUCAACAUCUAACUUGCAGCGCGAACUGGCGGACUUGAGUGCACGCAACGUAUGCGGAAUUCAUGGUGUAGCGGUGAAAUGCUUAGAUAUCAUGACGAACUCCGAUUGCGAAGGCAGCGUACGGGAGUGCUACUGACGCUUAAGCUCGAAGGUGCGGGUAUCGAACAGGAUUAGAUACCCUGGUAGUCCGCACGGUAAACGAUGGAUGCCCGCUGUUAGCGCCUGGCGUUAGCGGCUAAGCGAAAGCAUUAAGCAUCCCACCUGGGGAGUACGCCGGCAACGGUGAAACUCAAAGGAAUUGACGGGGGCCCGCACAAGCGGAAGAACAUGUGGUUUAAUUCGAUGAUACGCGAGGAACCUUACCCGGGCUUGAAUUGCAGACGCAGGAUACAGAGAUGUUGACUCCCUUCGGGGCGUCUGUGAAGGUGCUGCAUGGUUGUCGUCAGCUCGUGCCGUGAGGUGU
rnacentral:rRNA from 1 species